rnacentral:rRNA from 1 species
GACGAACGCUGGCGGCGUGCUUAACACAUGCAAGUCGAACGGAAAGGCCCUGCUUGCAGGGUACUCGAGUGGCGAACGGGUGAGUAACACGUGGGUGAUCUGCCCUGCACUUCGUGAUAAGCCUGGGAAACUGGGUCGAAUACCGGAUAGGAGCCAUCUUUAGUGUGAUGGUUGGAAAGUUUUUUCGGUGUAGGAUGAGUUGGCGGCCUAUCAGCUUGUUGGUGGGGUAAUGGCCUACCAAGGCGGCGACGGGUGGCCGGCCCGGGAGGGUGGACGGCCACAUUGGGGCUGGGAUACGGCCCAGACUCCCUCGGGGGGCAGCAGGGGGGAAUAUUGCACAAUGGGCGCGAGCCUGAUGCAGCGACGCCGCGUGGGGGGUGACGGCCUUCGGGUUGUAAACUCCUUUCGCUAGGGGCGAAGCUUUUUGUGACGGUACCUAGAUAAGAAGCACCGGCUAACUACGUG